rnacentral:tRNA from 1 species
GCGCAAUUGACUCAGUUGGUAGAGUGCCUCCGUCACAUGGAGGAAGUCAGGGGUUCGAGUCCCUUAUUGCGCACCA